AAAUCAAUGUGCCCUGUUGAGGAGCUGCAAGACAAAUCGUCCAAUUGUUGAGACACCAAAGUGCUCCUUAACACGAAGCCAUUUAGCUGUCCUGUAAUGCUCGUUGAAGUAGCUUAUUUGCGGGAGGGAGGUGUGUGCAUCAGACGAGGACCUAUACGUAUUUUUAUCUUGUUCCCCAGAACAUGGUUUGCCUCUCUGUGCAUGGAUGACUGAUUUCUAUGGACCCGUACUUCUCGUUUCCAGGUAGCUCUUCCUCCUUUUGCUUAGGCUGCCUCAAAAGACUCAAGGCAUGCCCCAGAAAUGGGUUUCGAAUCGCCUGCUUUACAGCCACACCCAGACAUCCUGCGGCAGCUCAGCUCAGCACAUUCAGAACCAGAUUUGUGAUUGUCUCCCUCCAGCCUGCUCCCGUUUCUGUUACGGUUAUCAUGAUCUGUCUCUGUGAACCUUCAAGUGUAAGUCUUCUCUCCUCU
rnacentral:lncRNA from 1 species